rnacentral:tRNA from 3 species
GGGCGCAUAGCUCAGCGGGAGAGCGUUCGCUUCACACGCGAGAGGUCCAAGGUUCGAUCCCUUGUGCGCCCACCA